UAGGACAGAGAGAAAGGGAGGGAGAAGGGGAAGACAGAGAGGGGAAAGAUCGACAGCUGCAGAUCUGCUUCACCGCUUAUGAGGUGAACUGAGGGCUCAAAAACCGGGAUCCCUAUGCCAGUCCUUGUGCUUUGCACUAUCUGCGCUUUACCCGCUGCACUACUGCCUGACUCCGUAUUAAUUUAUUUUAUUUCUGUUUUGUUUUAUAGUCACCUUGUAAUGCCUGCUCUCUGUCCAAACAGCAACCGUCAGGAUAGCAACAAUGGCUGUGACCCUCACAGCAAAGUUUUUAUUUAUAAGAUGAGAGGAGAUGGCUACUCACGGGCAACUACAAGAUAAUUUAAAUUUUUUUAUUUAAGUCCAGGGGCUCACCCAGUAGAGUGCAUAUGUCACUUUGUGCAAGGACCCAGGUUCAAGUCCAGGACCUCACCAGCAGGGUGGAAGUUUAAUUAGUGAUGAUACAGAUCUGUUUAUUCAAUAAUGUGCUUUGUGAAUCUCCAAGGAAGAAGAAUGAUUGUUUCAUCUCCCCAUUUGCUGAGACAGAAAGAAAUUGGAAGGGAAGGGGAGAUGGUGAGGGAGAGAGUAACCUGCAGCACUGUUUUACACCUUAUGAAGCUUCCAUUCUGCAGGUGGGGACAAGAGGCUUGAAUCCAGGUCCUUGUGUGUGACAAUGUAUGUGCUUUACCAGGUGUGC